UGGGCCACGUCAGCCUUGGUGCAAGGUGGUUUUUAGCAGCAUCAGGGCUGGGAUCUGAGUGGUGUAGAUCCUGGGAAAAGCAUGUUGACUGAGUAAUGGAACUCAACGCUGCAGCUGUUGGGUACCGUUGCCUGCUGUCCUUUUAGGGUUUUUUGGUUUAAAGUUAGUCCGCUCCUGGUCCAAUUGUUUGUGGUGGUGCUGAUUGUACGGGCGGACUAACUGUUUAAUUUUUGUUUGUUUGUUUUGUUUGUUUGGGCAUCCCCCUAUGAAUGAGUUUAACCCUCCUGUCGGUAGUCACCCGGAGCCGUUCUGCACCCGACUCUUGUGC